rnacentral:lncRNA from 1 species
UGAUGAUGCCUCCCCCAGGUCUUAAUUCACUCAAGCCUCCUCCUCCAGUCAGACACAAAAUCCAUCGAACAAUCAAAAGGAUUCCACUCAGAAAUUCAGAUGGGCCGACUACCCCGACAAUCAAGACCCUUAUGAUUUGAAUGAAGACUAAAGAAAAGUUAAAGUAAGACGUUGCAUGAUGCCUCCAUGACCCGUGCCUCUACAAUCAAUAUUCCCUGAUAAAGGAAAAAGCAAAAGAACAUGUGAAAGCAAGAAAGCAAAAGUAAAAGACAAAGAAAAAGCAAAAGCAGAAGUCUGAAGUCCCGUGCUCCAACAGUCAAGAUUCUCUACCAACACUUCUAUAGUUUGAGUCUUUAUAUAGAGGCCUUUUGGCCAGAGUCAAGCAGAAU